rnacentral:rRNA from 1 species
AUUGAACGCUGGCGGCGUGCUUAACACAUGCAAGUCGAUCGGUAACGCGGGGGCAACCCUGGCGACGAGAGGCGGACGGGUGAGGAACGCUUGGGAAUCUGCCUAUCAGCGGGGGACAACCCGGGGAAACUCGGGCUAAUACCGCAUACGCCCUACGGAGGAAAGCCGGGGACCGCAAGGCCUGGCACUGAUAGAUGCGCCCAAGUCGGAUUAGCUAGUUGGCGGGGUAACGGCCCACCAAGGCGACGAUCCGUAGCUGGUCUGAGAGGACGAUCAGCCACACUGGGACUGAGACACGGCCCAGACUCCUACGGGAGGCAGCAGUGGGGAAUAUUGGACAAUGGGGGAAACCCUGAUCCAGCGACGCCGCGUGGGUGAAGAAGGCCUGCGGGUUGUAAAGCCCUUUCGGUAGGGACGAAAGCUCUCGACCUAACACGUCGGGAGGUUGACUUAACCUACAAAAGAAGCACCGGCUAACUCUGUGCCAGCCGCCGCCGUAAAAC